CACUCCAGCCUGGGCAACAGAGCAAGACUCCGUCUCAAAAAAAAAAAACAACAACAUACAAAAAUGCCUUUGGGAUUCAGCGUAAUCUGCAGGUUAUAAAAGCAACUGCAAGGAUGAUAGGAGCUUUUUUCACCACAGCCUAGGAUGCCUUUGAGAAAACCGACAAAUUUGAAAACAUGAUAAAGGUAACAUCUCUCUACUUCCCCCUGGAUUCAGCCCCUCUACUCUGCCAACAUUGCUCUCACCAGGGUACCCAGUGACCUCCAAGUUGCCCACUGUGGGAGCACUCCUGAGUCCUCAUCUUACUGGAACGCUCCUCACGACCAUCAGGGAAUCUUCUGCUGCCCAUGAAAGGAAGCCCAACUCGAAUUGCUGCAAGCAGAACUGACUCAAGUCUUCCCUACUUUGGUGAAUGUUUGAAGCCUAGAGAAACAUAUUCCAUCAAGAAAGAAUAAUAAUUAAUAGAACAUGUUUGUAUACUCUAUAAAUUUUAUACAAAUUACAACAUUUCAGUUACCAUCAUUAUAAAUUUGAUAUACUGUUUAAUUUAUACCAUGUUAUCUUUAAUGUUUCUAUAUAUUUGGUGUAAUCUGUGCCAUAUUACUCUAUAAUUAGUAUAUUAAAAUGUAGUAGACUAUAGCUCUCUAUUAUAUUAGGAGAAUGCUACAUGUGUAACCAAAGAGAAUCUUAAUAUGUAUAGGAGUAUUCAUUAGAUAUGUAGAUAAUUUUUAUAUAUUAAUGAUACCUGCAAAUUUGUCUAGAUAAUACAGUAACUGUGACAAUAAGUAGUUUUUUUUAAGGGUUUAGAAAGUUAAAUAAUCAGACAAUGCAACAAUUUUUCCAGAAUGAUCUUAGAAAACUCCUUUGAGGUCAGCUAACAUGACAUCAAAAUUCAGUGUGCAUAACAGUUUGUUACUGAAAUACUUUGUCAGAAAAGGCUUUGCAUUAAAAAAAAAAUUGACGUAUUGAUUUCUUUUUACAGACGGGGUAUUGCUAUAUUGCCCAGGCCGGA
rnacentral:lncRNA from 1 species